AACUGAUCUUAACAUUGUCUGAGACCCAUUGUGGUUACUUAGGGUUUUAUCUGUGACCUCAGGGUCACCUGAAUCAGAGGCAAAUUCAGGCUCUUUCAAAGAAAGAAAACCAUCAGCAGCCAGUCCCUUUGGAUGACAAACUUCAUCAAUAAUCAAUGACAAAUAUGAGAUUGGAUUCCUUCCUUACAGAAGAUUAUACCGUUACUUUCAAGCUGGGAUGAACACUUCCAAGUAGUGUUAACUAUUUAUACUGCUGUAAUAAUUGCUGAAAGGAUCAUGUAGUUCAUCACAUCUAUGUAAAACCUGCUGUUUUUCAGUCUAUGAGAACUUGUAGUCCACCACAUCGAUGUAAAAACUGCUGCUUUUGAUUCCAAUCCAGAAGAACCUGCAGUAUCUCCACUCAAGAUGACUAUUAUUUUAUUUUAACAAAAUCUUAGGCAGCUAGGCAGCAAGAAAGUAAAUUAAAUACAAAGCAA